rnacentral:lncRNA from 10 species
AUAGGGUCUCGCUAUGUUGCGCAGGUGGGUCUUGACUCCUAGGCUCAAGCGAUCCUUCUGCUUUGGCUUCCCAGAGUGCUGAGAUUUCACCCUGUGCUUUUUGAACCAAAGUUCUGGAUUCAAUAUUUGUCCUUGUUAAAUAUCACAUUAUUAUAUGUGGCCCAAUCUUCCUCACUUUCUUACAGCCUCCAUCAUGUCAUCCAAACAGUCACUUUCCCAGGCAGCCCCAUGAAUAGUCACAGCUCUGACAACCCAGGUGUUUUGUGUUUGCAUUACAAACUCUUACAAGCCAAGGAUCAAGCCUGUGACACUCCGCUAGCGACAUUCCAGGGAGACAAGUAUCCGUUGAUUUGUUGAUUUGGAUCUUUGGUGCAUCCAGCCCGCAAUUCCCCAUCAUUCCUGCAAGAGUUUCACAACUGACCUUGGGUGCCUCUGACAGCUGCUGCAGGAAACAUGGCCAAGUUUGCCCUGAAUCAGAACCUGCCCGGUGAGUGUGCAAAAAGAGAGAUGUGUGUGUGUGUGCGCAUGCACAGAGAAACGCUUGAUGCCCUUGUGUGUGGACGCAGCCUACAGCCCUAGAGUGCAGUCCUCUCCAAUGUCAUGAGCCUGCUUUAAACCACCUAUGGCAUCAAUCAUGGCCGGGUGCGGUGGCUCAUGCCUGUAAUCCCAGCACUUUGGGAGGCCACGGUGGGCGGAUCACUUGAGAUCAGGAGUUUGAGACCAGCCUGGGCAACAUGGUGAAACCCUGUCUCUACUAAAAAUACAAAAAUUAGCCAGGCACGGCUCGGUGUGGUGACUCAUGCCUGUAAUCCC